rnacentral:rRNA from 1 species
GACGAACGCUGGCGGCGUGCUUAACACAUGCAAGUCGAGCGGAAAGGCCCCUUCGGGGGUACUCGAGCGGCGAACGGGUGAGUAACACGUGGGUAAUCUACCCCUGACAUCGGGAUACUCCGGGGAAACCCGGCCCAAUACCGAAUAAGGUGCGGAGACGUUGGUCGCCGUACCAAAGGUAGCUUCGGCCUCCGGUCAGGGAUGAGCCCGCGGCCCAUUAGCUUGUUGGUGAGGUAACGGCUCACCAAGGCUACGAUGGGUAGCUGGUCUGAGAGGACGAUCAGCCACACUGGGACUGAGACACGGCCCAGACUCCUACGGGUGGCUG